UUUGUGCGUGUGACAGUGACAAUG
rnacentral:miRNA from 1 species